rnacentral:rRNA from 1 species
GACGAACGCUGGCGGCGUGCCUAAUACAUGCAAGUUGAGCGCUGAAGGUUGGUACUUGUGCCAACUGGAUGAGCAGCGAACGGGUGAGUAACGCGUGGGGAAUCUGCCUUUGAGCGGGGGACAACAUUUGGAAACGAAUGCUAAUACCGCAUAAAAACUUUAAACACAAGUUUUAAGUUUGAAAGAUGCAAUUGCAUCACUCAAAGAUGAUCCCGCGUUGUAUUAGCUAGUUGGUGAGGUAAAGGCUCACCAAGGCGAUGAUACAUAGCCGACCUGAGAGGGUGAUCGGCCACAUUGGGACUGAGACACGGCCCAAACUCCUACGGGAGGCAGCAGUAGGGAAUCUUCGGCAAUGGACGAAAGUCUGACCGAGCAACGCCGCGUGAGUGAAGAAGGUUUUCGGAUCGUAAAACUCUGUUGGUAGAGAAGAACGUUGGUGAGAGUGGAAAGCGCAUCAAGUGACGGUAACUACCCAGAAAGGGACGGCUAACUACGU